rnacentral:lncRNA from 1 species
UUUUCCUCCUCAGUCGUGUGUGUUUCCUCCUCAGUCGUUUGUGUUUCCUCCUCAGUCGUUUGUGUUUCCUCCUCAGAGUCGUUUGUGUUUCCUCCUCAGUCUUUGGUCCUCUUCAGUCGUGGUGUGUUCCUCUCAGUUCGUUGUGUUCUUCCUCAGAGUCGUUGGUGUUUCUUCCUCAGUCGUUGUGUUCUCCCCAGUCGUUGUUUCCUCCAUCAGGUCUCCAGUCGUUUGU